UACGGAGGGUGCAAGCGUUAUCCGGAUUCACUGGGUUUAAAGGGUGCGUAGGUGGGCAGGUAAGUCAGUGGUGAAAUCUCCGGGCUUAACCCGGAACUGCCGUUGAUACUAUUUGUCUUGAAUAUUGUGGAGGUAAGCGGAAUAUGUCAUGUAGCGGUGAAAUGCUUAGAUAUGACAUAGAACACCAAUUGCGAAGGCAGCUUACUACACAACGAUUGACGCUGAGGCACGAAAGCGUGGGGAUCAAACA
rnacentral:rRNA from 1 species